AUAUAGCUCAGUGAUAGAGUUUGUGCUUAGCAUGCACCAUGCACUGGGUUCAAUCCCCAGUGU
rnacentral:tRNA from 1 species